AGGGCACAGCUCAGCGGUAGAGCGUGUGCUUAGCAUGCACGAGGUCCUGGGUUCAAUCCCCAGUACCUCUG
rnacentral:tRNA from 1 species